UUGGAAGUUUUGGAGCUAGGACGUACCUGUGAGUUAUAGUCUACCUGUGAAGGAGGUGUGAAUUAGGUCAUGCUUGUUCUGCUGUAUAUUACGCGAUAAGAUAAAGUUACGACUCUCCAAUCAAGUUCUGCAAUUCUCAUUGAACUUUUCACCUUUCUGUGAGCAUGCAUCUUGCUCCGCGGUUCAACUGUUGGAACAAGAAUUUUUUUUAUUUUUUUGGGAAACAAAA
rnacentral:misc_RNA from 1 species